GACGUAGGGCGCAAGCGUUGUCCGGAUUUAUUGGGGCGUAAAGAGCUCGUAGGCGGCUCGUUGCAUCGGCUGUGAAAACCCGCAGCUCAACUGUGGGCUUGCAGCCGAUACGGGCGGGCUGGAGUUCGGUAGGGGAGACUGGAAUUCCUGGUGUAGCGGUGAAAUGCGCAGAUAUCAGGAGGAACACCGGUGGCGAAGGCGGGUCUCUGGGCCGAUACUGACGCUGAGGAGCGAAAGCGUGGGGAGCGAACAGG
rnacentral:rRNA from 1 species